UUUUGGGGGGGUGUUAAUACAUGCAAGUCGAGCGGACAGAAGGGAGCUUGCUCCCGGAUGUUAGCGGCGGACGGGUGAGUAACACGUGGGUAACCUGCCUGUAAGACUGGGAUAACUCCGGGAAACCGGAGCUAAUACCGGAUAGUUCCUUGAACCGCAUGGUUCAAGGAUGAAAGACGGUUUCGGCUGUCACUUACAGAUGGACCCGCGGCGCAUUAGCUAGUUGGUGAGGUAACGGCUCACCAAGGCGACGAUGCGUAGCCGACCUGAGAGGGUGAUCGGCCACACUGGGACUGAGACACGGUCCACACUCCUACGGGAG
rnacentral:rRNA from 1 species